AGACAAAAUGUCUCAAGAAGCCUUGAGAGGCGGGAUUUUGGAACCCGGGCGCUGACGAGCUUCCGCCAUUGGUGUGAUCGCGGACCUAGAAACUUGGUCCGUCCCAUACAGGUGUAGAAGUCGGAUUUGGAGAAUGCUGACGGGUGUCCGGUCAAGGUUAGGCCCCAGGCACUAUGCUGAAUUUGCAAAGAUGAAGGAAACUAAACUACUGUUUUUGGGAAACUUUAUCUCCUAAUGGACAAACAAGGCUUAAGGGUCCAACUAAACAUUGCAGUGGCUCAUCACAGAGCUGGAAGGAGCCUAUAUAUAGAACUAGAGGCACAGUGGGUGGCCCUGAAUACCUUACAGGAAGCAGACUGAUUUUCUCAUCCAAAAGGCAUGCUACAUGAUGCAGAACAGUCAGUGGGGCCCCUGCAGUCAGGCCUCUCCCAUGGAAUCCCUGAUCUGCACAAUCAGUAAGGAACAGGAAGACUUCUGGGAUUCAGAUAGUGACCCCAUGUUGCCCAUUCCCUAGAUAAUGGGGACUUCAAGACAAAGCUCUAGAAAAAUGAAAGGAAAAAGCAAAAAGUAUCUAAGUCCUUAGCUGCUCCAAAAAAAAGGCCUGCAGCUGCAGGCUGUUGACCACUAAUCCCUGGAAAUGCAUCAAGUAGACUGAAGCUAGGUCUGAGAAGAAAUCAAGGCAGGUGUAUACGGCCUACUGCAUCUCUUUUCCCAAAUUACGUUCAAGAAAUACAGAAGUUCUCAGAUAUUGCUCUUUCCUCAUUUUCCUCCUACCUCUUAGCUGUUCUUCCUAUGGCCCUUGCACACUGAGUUGCCUGUUGCUCUGUCCAAGUCCUGCUAAUUCCAUGUUCUUUUUUUUUUU
rnacentral:lncRNA from 1 species